CUGACCUCAGCUGGAGAUAUUGUUUGGAAUGAGGGAGCACUUUCAGGGACUUGUGACCCAAAUAAAUGUGCCUAACAUCCAUGAUGAAGUGCUCAAGUUUCUGAGGUAUAUGGUUUUGAGGUCCGUCUCGACCCAAGGUCAGUGUAGCAGUAAAACAACUCCGGUGACAGGGCAGAGCAGCGGCUGAGGUCUGUCUGGAAUUGCUGAAAGCAUUUUGUGAAAUGUUGAUUUUUGUUUUGGCUAUGGAGCAGUGGACCAAAACUUGACCCUUGAGAGAAGACUGGGCCUGUGAUCAUGUGUCCUGAGGUAAUCUGUGGGAGGUGUUGAAGGAGUAUGGGCUUCUGAGUACCAUGCAAUUUUUUGGGAUAUUAAGACACAGUCAGGAACUAAAGAAUAUCCAGAUUGGAGACACCAGGGUUGCAUUGUUAACAUUUUUAGAUGAUGUCAUCCAGCCUACACUAAAUCAGCUUGCAGUUAAGUCCCCACAGUCAGGAUGAAGCCUGCCAGGGUUCUGGGGUGUCCACAUCUUCUGCCCUCUGCCUCUGCUCUGAAACCACCUCGUUUGGCAUUCCACGGGGCACUGCAAUGUUCUGAAGCGUGCAACAUGGGACAGUAAUCUGGCACAUCCUCUGCUGACUGCAAAGAAGGGCUCUCUCUGUUCUUUCUAUCACAUGAAAACAGAACAGUGAAGGUGCUUUGGGUACUGAUGUGCAUCUGAUUGUAGUGCUUCUCUGUAGAUGAUCUUAGAUUCUGCACAGGUGUCAUGAUCCAAGGGUGUAAGGUAUACACAUGGUCACCUUCAACACUUACAUUCGUUUCUUGAAUAGGAAACAGCCAAUAAUUGACCAUUUUUUGAAAAGUGCCAAAUUGUACCUUUUCUCAUCUUCUGAAAUACAUUACUGCUCCUUAAAAUAUAAGUGUUGUGAAUGGCACUUUGAUAUUUAGCCACAAUAUUUGUGAUACGGUUUUAGAGUCACAUACUGCCUGAAUGCUUAGUGUCUGUGGGUUUUCUGUAUUAGCGCACAUACACAGCUUCAAAUGGGAGGUUCAGCUAAAUGUGUACCAUUAAUUGCACCUAGUACCUUUGGGAAGUCUGGUAUCAUAUUAAGAGCCUUCUGGUUAUUGGGAAAAGUAUAUGAUUCUGUACUCUUUGCAUAAGUGACCUCAGGAGGAGAAAGAGUAGAAACAACACAGUUUACAAUGCUACCUGUGAGAUUCCAGGGACAGAAGCCAACAUGUGCAGAAAAGCACCAAAGGCCAAGAAAUGGAGUAGCUGGAAUCUUUGUUUUUGCAGGGAUUUUGUAACUUUGUAAAUAAACUAAUACAUGUUGAGAAAACUAUCCUUCCUAACAUGCUGCCUCUGUUGCAGUCUAUGCCUCCUCCAUGCAACAGCUAAGGCAGGAAUUUCGAGGCCAAAACAGGUUAAAACAUGCUUUUCGCAGGCAUUAAAUAACAUGCAAUCAGCAAUAAUUGAACUGUUGCCAGCCAAUCGGAUUCAGUGUUUUACUUGCAUAAUUUCCAAUCAAUAUUUUGCGCUGUGAAAGGGAAAUGCCUUUAAAUCCAUAUGCAAUAAGGUGAAUGUGCACAAAUUAGCACCCCAACCCUUUUGUCUUAUAUCUGUUAAAGGCUUAUUGUGUCUUUACAGUUAAAUUUGGCAUUUACUUUUUAGCAAUGAAAGAUGGUUUGUACAAGCACUAAAUGUUUGCAAAUUUGGCUUUAUGUGUUUUUUGUCUUGCACAGGAAUACCCAAAUGGUGUUUGAAACUGUUGCUAUGGAGAACUUAGUAUAGUGACUUGCUGCUACUGUGAUGCU